rnacentral:rRNA from 1 species
AUACGGAGGGUGCGAGCGUUGUUCGGAAUUAUUGGGCGUAAAGCGCGCGCAGGCGGGAUAUCAAGUCUGAUGUGAAAGCCCCGGGCUCAACCUGGGAAGUGCAUUGGAUACUGGCAGACUUGAAUACGGGAGAGGGCAGUGGAAUUCCUGGUGUAGGAGUGAAAUCCGUAGAUAUCAGGAGGAACACCGGUGGCGAAGGCGGCUGCCUGGACCGAUAUUGACGCUGAGACGCGAAAGCGUGGGUAGC